UCAUUAUAGUAUAUUAUAAUUUAUUAUAUUAUAUUUAUUAUAUUAGGUAAAGAGCAGUCUUGUGACGUCCUUACCAGUUUGCAAAAUAGGCCGCGAUAUUCAAAUUUUAGCCAAAUGUAAGGACCGGGAACGAUAUGGAAGUUGGAACAUGUUUCAACUUAAUUGCAACAAGUUCCAACAAUGAUAGCUCCUUCGGGGGAAAGAGUAGGCAAUCUCCACGUCAAUCUAUCAGUUGCAAGAAUUCAACGAUUUUGUUACAAGUUGUUGCAACCUCUGCUACUUGGGAUACUUGGCUUCAAAUUACAGCCGAAACUGGAUGCUUUUAAAUUACAAUGAAAUUUAAUUAGGAUUUUAUUUUUAAUCACAGGUGAAAUCUAUCUGCCCAAAGCAUGUAAAAACAUAAAAGGCUCAAUAUUUUGUAACUGCCCACUUCAAAAUCCGUUAGCUGUCCCAUCAGUGAACAUUACGGUCUGUGAUAUCAGUUGACGGAUUCAGUUGCAUGAGGCAGCCUGGGUCAGUCCAUUUAAGAUUUUAUUUUGCUGUUACCGCUACUUUUUUCACAAAACCAAACCAGUGGCAUGGUGUUUUGUACAUCAUUCCUCAUGAAAAUUUUGCGCUGAAUCCGAAUCCGUGCUUAAAUUGCAGGAAUUUUCUUUUUUUAUAGCUCAAAUUUGAUCUGAAAUGCUGAAUUUGUCAUUACCGUAACCUGUUACCGGUCGAAAGUCUCAACUUUAUCGCUGAAUUCAAGCAAAUAUAUACAAAGUCACGGGCUUCUGAAAUCAAAUAUGGCUUCAGCAUACUUUGAAUUGAUAAUUCUUUCUUUUUAGAGCUAUAUUUUCCUCUAAGUUUUCGAAAAAAUUGGCAUCUCGUGCUUGUUACUGGAUUUGGUGUCAUUACCGUAACCCCUUGUUCUGGAGCAAACUUCGGCUGCUAGGCGACAGCACCAGCUCGAACUUACAUUCGUUGAUGUUUGUGUUGGAAGUAGGACCCAUGACGAAAAAUGUCAACCCCAUACGAGAAAUGAUUUCAGAACUUACAAAAAAAACUGAAAUAAGUCAGUCAGUUUAAAUCAGUACAAGAAAAUGGCCCAUCAGAUACCACCAGCAGUACCGUCGCGUCCUGCCCAGAAAGUACAUCAAUACGAUCCUGUUAUGUUCGAUGAGAUGAAAAUGAAUCAACGCACUUUACGGAAUUAUAGAUUUAUUCAUCUUUAAUCACGAACAAGCCAAUCCGGCAGCAGCUGAUAACAGAUAACAGAUAACCUCUCUUGGAUCACCUUCACCUUGCGCAUGCGCACUAUCCUCUCAGGUGUGGCAUUACAGUCAUUGCCAACCUGACUGCACUAAUACUAUAUUUCACUAUUCCAACAGAUCCGAGAUAGUCUUAUACUAUUUAUUGCUAGUUUUGCUAGUUAAAAGUUCUAUUUUCUCUUGACUAUUAUUAUGAUUAUUUUGUUUGAAGAUCUCACUAGAGAUAUUUUUGUUUACGUUACCUACAUUUCUUCUCAAAGAAAUUUUCUCUUUUGCAUAUAGGUGGUUAAAUAAAGUCCUAUUUUUCCUCUAUUAUAAUUAUUUUGUUUAGUGAUCUCAUUAGAGAUACUCAUUUAAUGUGAAAUUGGUUGAUGUCUACCAUUUCUUGGACGAUUUAUUUAUUUCAAAUGAUUUGGUUUGGUCAUUUUUUCGAAUUUUUGUACUGCUUUAAUACAACGUUUCUUUAGAAAUCAGUGCUUUUUUCCUUCAGCCUUGAGAUCCUACCCCAUAAGGCCGUCAUGCAUAACAAUAAAUCAUUACCGCAUACUUACAGUCAUUACCGCUACUAUUUAUCAUUACCGUAACCGGCUUAUUUUCCUUGAAAAAAAAAUUGGAAAAAAAGCUGUAAAUUUACAAUUUAAGGGGAAAUUACAAAAUAUAAGUUUAGCUCUUUAUAGAAAAGUCUUUACAUGCAACCUAAUCCUUUUCUCUCAAAUGUAGGGCAAUUUAGAACUCAAAAGAAACAAAAAAUUCCGAAUUUGACAACGAAAUUUGUUUAAAUAAAAGUUUUAAUCAUAACUUAUCCAAAUAUUUGUAUUUAUUUCGAACUAUCAGACUUUAAACUAAACAAAAAAAAUAAAAAAGAUCAGUUUCCACUUCUUUUGCGUGUGCUGGACUAACAAAAUAAAUAGGUUACGGUAAUGAUGAGUUUUUUCAAAAA